ACUCGGAAAGGUUUUACCACUCAUGAACAUAUUGAUAGACAAUUACCAAAAAAAUUUGUUCACCAGGUAAAGAUAUUGUUGUCGACGAGACAAUGGUUCCUUGGAGGGGACAACUAAUAUUCCGACAAUACAUACCGACGAAAUCGCAUAAGUAUGUAUAAAACUAUUCAAACUGUGUUCCACCGAAGGUUACACAUGGUCUGCAAAAGUAUAUUCUGAGCGAGAUAUCACCGGAAGACCCAUAUCGUUGGAACUGUACGACACAACAAAAAAUAUAUGCCCAAUUUCGUAAUGUCGUACCGGUUGAAGACAGGUGGAAUGAUAACACGAGAAGAUAAGAACGGUAUUGUGAUGCUUAAAUGGAGAGAUGUUCAAGAUGUUGAAAUAUUAUCAACAAAACAUGCACCCAUUAUGAUUUCAAGCUCGAAUUCUACAUAUCGCGGACGUCCUCUGAAACAGAAACCUUUGGCGGUAAUUGCAUACAAUAGUGGAAAAAGUGGUAUCGACAGAAGCGACCAGAUGGUCUCACAUGCCACUACGAUACGGAAAAGCAUCAAGUGGUAUUGGAAAUUAGCACUACAUUUAAUCUUAGGAACAACUAUAACAAAUGCUCAUAUUGUGUACCAAACAGCCACAAACAAAAAAUAUCGAUAAAAAAAUUUCGGGAAAUUCUCGUUUCCGAAUGGCUCGAUGUGUCUUCAGAAAAUACUGUGCCCGACAACCAUCGGGAGAAAACGAAGGUGUCCCACCAUUUGGAGAUUCGUAAAAAUCAGCAGGGCAAGCCUAUAAGAAGGAUGUGCGCCCUAUGUUACAAGAAGAAGAGGCAAACUGUCGCACCCCAAGAAGCGAGAAUAAACGUAAAAAAAACUACAACAUAUUGUUCGAAGUAUCCAAAAAAACUCCAAAUGUGUUUGGAAUGUUUUAACGAAUACCAUGCGAUAUUGCAUAAUGUAAUAUUUUAUCCAGAAUAUAAAUUAAUAAAAAGUAUGGUAUAAUGU